rnacentral:rRNA from 1 species
CAGCAGUGGGGAAUAUUGCGCAAUGGGCGGAAGCCUGACGCAGCGACGCCGCGUGGGGGAUGACGGCCUUCGGGUCGUAAACCUCUUUCGGCCUUGACGAAGCUCUUCGGGGUGACGGUAGGGGCAGAAGAAGCACCGGCCAACUACGUGCCAGCAGCCGCGGUAAUACGUAGGGUGCGAGCAUUGUCCGGAAUUAUUGGGCGUAAAGAGCUCGUAGGCGGUCUGUCGCGUCGGUCGUGAAAACUUGGGGCUUAACCCUGAGCUUGCGGUCGAUACGGGCAUGACUGGAGUUCGGCAGGGGAGACUGGAAUUCCUGGUGUAGCGGUGAAAUGCGCAGAUAUCAGGAGGAACACCGGUGGCGAAGGCGGGUCUCUGGGCCGAUACUGACGCUGAGGAGCGAAAGCGUGGGGAGCGAACAGGAUUAGAUACCCUGGUAGUCCACGCCGUAAACGGUGGG